rnacentral:sRNA from 1 species
GCUAGGUGCAUUGGCACACACCUGUAAUCCCAGCUACUUGGGAGGCAGAGGCAGGAGGAUCACAAGUUCUGGGCCACCCUGUGUACCUUAGGGUACCUUGUCUCAA